rnacentral:rRNA from 1 species
CUACGGGCCCAGCAGUGGGGAAUAUUGGACAAUGGGGGAAACCCUGAUCCAGCAAUGCCGCGUGUGUGAAGAAGGCCUGCGGGUUGUAAAGCACUUUCGGUUGGGAGGACUGCUUCUAGCACUAAUAUUGUUGGAAGUUGACGUUACCUUCAGAAGAAGCACCGGCUAACUCCGUGCCAGCAGCCGCGGUAAUACGGAGGGUACAAGCGUUAAUCGGAAUUACUGGGCGUAAAGCGCGCGUAGGCGGCUAGAUCAGUCGGGUGUGAAAGCCCCGGGCUUAACCUGGGAACUGCAUCCGAUACUGUCUAGCUUGAGUACAGGAGAGGAGAGUGGAAUUCCACAUGUAGCGGUGAAAUGCGUAGAUAUGUGGAGGAACACCAAUGGCGAAGGCAGCUCUCUGGCCUGAUACUGACGCUGAGGUGCGAAAGCGUGGGGAGCAAACAGGAUUAGAUACCCUUGUAGUC